GUACUGUAGUGGUGAAUGAGUGAGCUUUGUGAGCUCGAGGUCGCAGGUUCAAAUCCUGCC
rnacentral:tRNA from 1 species